AAGCAUGACUGUACCGUCUUACAGAUGUGGAAACUGAGACAGUGAGUGGCUUGCCACAGGCCUCACAGAGAAGAGGGUGGUGUGGUCCAGAGGCACUGUAUGGAAAGUCAAAAGCAACAGACUCAGGUUUGGGUCCUCAAACCAUCCUCCCCUGUCAACAUUCCUUCCGAGAGCCGUGUGAGCUGGACAAGCCAUUUCAUCCCUCCAAGGACAGUUUCUCCAUCAAAAGAGAAGACCUACAAAUAACUCUGGUCUAGGGCUACCGUGAGAUAGUGAAGCUCUGUGGAGUGAAUGGCCCUAGGCACUUUGCAGAACGUUUAUCCGGUCUUUACCUCCAGCCGGUCCUGGGGUUGGGGCGGGGAUAAGGAAGGAAGCCCGAGGGAAGGAAGCGCUGUGGAAGAAGGGAGAGCCAGCUGGUCACCACGGUUUGUUUUCUCACCUGAGUCCCCAGCCCUCCCCUAGCCUGGCCUCUCUCACCUGCUCAGGUAAAGAGGUAGGGGGAGCCUCGCUCAGCCAAUCAACGGCAAUUAUUCUCUUAAAGGCACCCAGCAGCUGGCAGGGAAACCAGCCAUGCCACCUGGAGAGCUCCCUGCUGGGGGCCAGAGGCAGCUGUGCAAUUUAGGUGUACUUAAGCCCUCCAUGGCCACUCUGUGACCCCAGGGCCUGGUCGUUUCAUGUCCGGGAGAGUGCUUUCUUCAGAGACGCCUCCUUCGCCUGGCCCAGAGCUGGCUUUCCAGAAGGCUCCCAUGCUUAGCUGCCCUGGCAGACGCCCAGGGAGGAAAGACAGCGUGGCCUUUGGCAACUGCUCGGCAGGAAGGAGCCCAGAGGUGUGAGGGAGAAGCCAUUUCCCUGUCCUGACCCCCUUCGGCAAACCCUGGUGGGGUCCUGAGGCCUGGAACAAUGAAGUGGAUAUUCUCAUAGAUACCAGCGAGCCCACCCCCUAGAUUCCCAGCCCUGUGUGUUUGGGCUGGGCCCCACUAUCUCUUUUGCAAACAAAUCGAUCAACACAAAGAACAGAGUCCAAGAAGAUCUAAAAACAAUAAUAACAACAAGAACACUUCACAGGUAGCAGUUAACAGAAACCGACAUUAUCACCUUCACUCUAUUAAUGCUUAUGGUUUUCUCAACAGCCUGAUGAGGGUUCUCCCUAUUUUGCAGAAGAUGAACAGAGGCACAGCGAGGGGUCAUGGCUUGCUCAGGCUCACAUAGCAAGUAGGUUACAGAGCUGGGAUUCUGCAAACCCCCUGGCUUACAGCCCAGGCUUUUUGCCCCUAUGCUACACUGCCUCGUGUUCCACCAACCAUCUGAUUAAAGGACUUCCUAAAGCUGU